rnacentral:rRNA from 1 species
CUACGGGGGGCUCCAGUGGGGAAUAUUGCACAAUGGGCGAAAGCCUGAUGCAGCGACGCCGCGUGAGGGAUGAAGGUCUUCGGAUUGUAAACCUCUUUCAGUAGGGACGAAGCGAAAGUGACGGUACCUAAAGAAGAAGCACCGGCUAACUACGUGCCAGCAGCCGCGGUAAUACGUAGGGUGCAAGCGUUGUCCGGAUUUAUUGGGCGUAAAGAGCUCGUAGGCGGUUAGACACGUCGGAUGUGAAAACUGGUGGCUCAACCACCAGCCUGCAUUCGAUACGGUUUGACUUGAAUGUGGUAGGGGUAACUGGAAUUCCUGGUGUAGCGGUGAAAUGCGCAGAUAUCAGGAGGAACACCGAUGGCGAAGGCAGGUUACUGGGCCAAUAUUGACGCUGAGGAGCGAAAGCGUGGGGAGCAAACAGGAUUAGAUACCCGGGUAGUC